rnacentral:lncRNA from 1 species
AGAUGCAGGUCCUAAAAAAUUUCAAUGUUUUGUAUCCUUAUGAUUUUACUCUCUGACGGACAGAAAUGUUCAGGUCUUAUUACUUUGUACCUCCUUUUUGUUUUUGAAUCUUUAUUUACAAAUAAUUACUUAUGAAAUGUGGUUUUAUACAAGUUAUUCUUAAAGUUUCGUCUUUAUAGUAGGUAGUUUCUUAAGAUAUAUCUUAAAAGAUCAUGCCAUAAUGAAUGUUGUAUUAAAGACAAACGUUGAUCUGACACCUGUGAAAACCCAUGCAUUGAUUCAUAUCUAUUUCCAAUACAUGUAUUUGUAUUGUCAACUGAUUUACUUAGAAGA